UUUCAUUCAUUAUAAUUAUUAUUUUGCACACUUCGCUUUGAGGCAGGGAGGCAGAAAGAGAGAUAUGAGUGGAUUUUUAAGAAGAAGAAACAGAUCUUCUUUACUUUUUUCGUUGUUCUUCCUCUCUGUUCCUCUUCCUUUCUUUUCAGGUAUAGCCGAUGACUCGUCUGGGCCAAAAAAUGGCACUAUGAAGUCUGAUAAGCAUGCUGCUUCUACAAACAAUACUGGGAUCCCCAAGAUUGCCAUCAUUUUUGUUUCCGUGGUGGCAAUAGGGUUUCUCGCUUUUUUCCUUUUCAAGUUUUGGCAAAAGAAGAAAAGAGAAGAGCAGUAUGCCCGUCUUUUGAAGUUGUUUGAAGAGGAUGAUGAGCUUGAAGUUGAACUUGGCCUUCGGGACUAACUCUUUUAUUGUACUUAAAGGCUUGAAAGAAAUUUGUUCAGAGGAAAAGUUGCUUCUCUGUUGCCAAGAUUGGGCUGUGGUGAUCCCUGUGUAGAGGUUAGAUGAUCUUCCAAUUGAAUUGCGUAAUAUUUGUCACUUUUCAUGAAUUUGAAUUCUUUGAUUACUUAGAGAAGAUUAGAUUCUUCUUUGAAUAAGUUCCGAGGGUCUCAUUCCCAGUUUGUAAAAAUGAUUCUUUGUUCUGAUGGACAUUGAAGUGUAUAAGAUCAUGCAUUUUGAUGCAAAGCAUCUUGAAUGCAUAUAUUCAAUGUUACUAGAAAGGAUGAGUGGAUGUAACUUCUUCGAUUCUAGCUGCUA